UAUUUCAGACAGAGGAUACACCAAAUGCAAGUUCUCAGAGCCUCAAGCCAGUUUAUUGUACUUAGAAAACAAUGAAGUUCAAUGGCUAAAAGAGUGAGGAAACGAAUGUUGGAAAAUGCAAUUGGAGAGGGGUAUUGGAAUCUGCACAGAUGUCUGUCGCUUGAUGAACCAAGCCAGUCCGUUCCUGAAGGACUUUUGCUCUGAAGCAGGAUCCUGAGGUAGCAGCCUAGUGUGGAUCAGGUGAGAGCAAGUGUGGGAAGACACGAAAUUGGAGGGAAAGGGUUUGGAACUCGUGCGGAGCCAUAAUAAACACCUGGCUGGAAAUCUCCGAGGCUGGGAAAUAAUUCUCCACUUAAGGAGGUUUGGGUAGAAAAAGUAGGCAUGAACAAGCAAUAAAACAACAACAGGAAAGCCUGCCUGCUGAAUAACUUCAGAAGCCUAAGAUUGAGAUAUGAUUGAAGUAAGAAGAAAAUAUACAGCCUAGUUUGAAGAAAAAGUAAGCAAAUAAUAAAGAAGAAUCAAAAUAAAAUACCAGACAUUACAGAUUUAUUUUGAAACUGCCAGGAAUUGUCUUGAACUCAGCAAAUUUUCCAUUUAAUUUACUACCCUGUUUUAUCCGAUCUCUAAUUCAUGAAAAUGCAAGAACUUUUCCUGGAAAGGUGCUCUUUGAUGCAGAGGAAGGUCACUAGGAAAGGUUGGCUGGCAGCCUUCCAGAGCCUUCCCUGGGAUUGCAUUCAUUACCACAGCGCAGGGGCCACUCUGAUCUUUCAGGUUCAGCAGUGCUUUUGUCAACUCAAAGAAAGCAGUUCUAUGUAUGUGUGCAUGUUGGCGGGAGGUGGGGUGGCAGUUCACA